GGUUAUUAUGGUAAAUGUGUAAUUUUCUAUAAUUGACGUAACUUAGCGGAUAAUGCGAUGCAAUAAUGCAGAUAUUAGGUGGACCGCAAUUAUUUUAAUAUGGUGGUGUCCACUUAGAUAGUGAUAUCCUUUCUAGACUCCGUUGAAGCGUUUAAAAGACACAAUUUGUGCUCGGCCUCACCCCUCUACAUAUAACCCGUGCAUGGCUGCUUAGCUUACACAUAUAACCUAAAACUGAUUAAUUAGCAUUCAUCUAACAGUUUGGGUAGUGGUCAAGUUUAAUUUGAUUCUCUUACUCUGUUCAUGACUUGGCCCAUGUAGUCAUUUUGGUAAAAACAUCAAUUUUUAGAAA
rnacentral:misc_RNA from 1 species